rnacentral:rRNA from 1 species
GUGUCAGCAGCCGCGGUAAAACGUAGGUGGCAAGCGUUAUCCGGAUUUACUGGGCGUAAAGGGUGUGCAGGCGGCCUUUCAAGUGGUGUAUGAAAUAUCCCGGCUCAACCGGGAGGGGUUAUGCCAGACUGAAGGGCUUGAGGGCGAGAGAGGGAGGCGGAAUUCCGGGUGUAGUGGUGAAAUGCGUAGAGAUCCGGAGGAACCCCAGAGGCGAAGGCGGCCUCCUGGCUCGCCCCUGACGCUCAGACACGACAGCAUGGGGAGCGAACGGGAUUAGAAACCCCCGUAGUCC